rnacentral:tRNA from 1 species
CAGAGAAUAGUUUAUAUAAAAUUUUAAUUUUGGAGAUUAAUGAAAAGAGCAACUCUUUUCUCUGA